CCCAGACUCCUACGGGAGGCAGCAGUGGGGAAUAUUGCACAAUGGGGGAAACCCUGAUGCAGCGACGCCGCGUGAGCGAUGAAGUAUUUCGGUAUGUAAAGCUCUCUCAGCAGGGAAGAAAAUGACGGUACCUGAAGAAGAAGCCCCGGCUAACUACGUGCCAGCAGCCGCGGUAAUACGUAGGGGGCAAGCGUUAUCCGGAUUUACUGGGUGUAAAGGGGGCGCAGACGGCGAUGCAAGCCAGGAGUGAAAGCCCGGGGCCCAACCCCGGGACUGCUUUGGAAACUGUAUGGCUGGAGUGCAGGAGAGGUAAGUGGAAUUCCUAGUGUAGCGGUGAAAUGCGUAGAUAUUAGGAGGAACACCAGUGGCGAAGGCGGCUUACUGGACUGUAACUGACGUUGAGGCUCGAAAGCGUGGGGAGCAAACAGGAUUAGAUACCCGCGUAC
rnacentral:rRNA from 1 species